AAUGGGAAUGUGUGUGAUGUCUAAAGUGAUUUGAUUUUGUGACUACUGCGGUGCUCAGCUGAACACAACUCCUGAUUUGGAAGACAGACUUCUCGUUCCUGCUGCUGAGGAUUCUUCUUUACCAGUUUUAACAGGAAUGAGUGUUUAUGUGAACAUCUCUUGAGAGACCCACACUGUGGAAGAUACUUACAAGACUGGGUUAUAUUUCUGGAAGAGCAAAUUCAUCUCUUGUCUCUCCAGAAGACUGACUUAUUCCCCCACAUUUAUCCCAGACAAGAAAAUGACUCAGUAUUUCAUUCAAGCUAAAUUUGAGCAGAACUAAGUUCCUUUUCAGGAACCCUCCCCAGCUUCUCUGAUGAGCACUUGUCAUGUUUGGAGAAACUGCCCACCUGAAGCAAAUAAAAACUUACAACACUGGACAUCUUUGAUGCAGCCCCAGAUAAAUGUUGUGCUGGGAUUUCUUGGAGAGCAGGUAUCCUGGGAGUAUACAGCAGCCUUGUCUCCAAGGAAAGACAUGCAGGAAGCACUGAGAGUAGAGGAAGGAACAGACGCUGGCUCACAGAGCCAUGGAGAUGUUUAAGUGAGGUACUGCUCGUGAACCGCCCCCGGGCUUGGCCUCAAGAAGCUGUAACUGCUGUGACCUUUU
rnacentral:lncRNA from 1 species